CGAGAAGCUUCAAUCUCAUAAGCAAGAAGGCUCGGCAGUUCGUCUUUGGCAAUCUUGCUAAAAUGCUUUAUUUACUGCAGGCAAUGGAAAUGAUGAAGGUUAGCAGCAUGAAUCGCCCUUCGCUAUCAAAAUUUCUUCAACGCAUUUGUACAACAAAAGACAAAUUAUCCAUUAGAGUGGAGAUUCAUGGAAGCAGUAGGUGGUAAUUCUCAAGAGCACCUGCAUCCGAUUCCGAGCUUUGAUUGUUCUGAUCGGUCACAGUGGAACUGCUGUUUGUUUCGUAUUUCCUCUGUUUCAACCAACAAGGCACCAGGGAAGGAGGCAACACCACUUCAAAGAGAAAACCACAGGUGCAAGAAUUUCAUACUUUGUUUUUUCUGUAACUCAAAGUGAUGGGUGCAAGAAUUUCAAGAGUUUGGCAUAAUUUU